AGGUGCUGGCUGCAAGAGAAGGUGUAGAACUACGCUCUUUUCUGCAUGCGAAGACCAUUUUUGGAUGUGUUGAGUACCAACAUCAGGUCCCUGUGCAUGUUUUGUUUCAGUGUUUGGAGAAAAAAAAAAUCUGCUGUCUUAUUUUACCGUCCACAAAAGUCUCGCAUUUUGUAGUUUUCCUAGAAUAGUAUAUUUAUUUAUUUGUUUUAAUUGAGUAAUUCAUUUCUGUAAAAAACAACAACAACAAGUUAGCUCAAAGGCUGGUAAAGCUCUGCAUGUAUUACGUAUGUUUUGAGUAAUAUAAAUGGUGUAUAGUUACAAAAAAUCUGAAUCAAUUUUUUUGGUGAUACCAAUUCAUGCAGGCACUUGAGGGUCUAAUAAACACUAAUACUCAAUAUUUUCAAUAGUUUUUCGUUAUUUGACUAUUUUACACAAUAGGCCAUUUCCAGUUAGGCCCUAUGCAACUUCCAAGUCAUCAAAUUUCAUCCUGAGUAAGAAUAUCCACUCACACUAAUCCAAAUUAAUUUCCAGAUUCUGAGAAUGGAUCCACUCCAGCAGAGGACGGCCACCGCUUCAACACUCAGCUCUUUCCUUAAGAGCUUAUUCAGACCAAAUCAGGCGUUGCAGCGAUUAGCCACAGGAUUGUGUGGUGGUGUGUGGGGGUGUGGGCAUGUUUAUUUGUGCUUAAGAACGUAACCACUGUGAAACAGAAAAUAACGUUUUAUUCCUCUGAUUCACCGGUUUUCUCACUACUGGCCCUACCUCUUUCCAUUCACUCUCUAGGUUGCUUGACCACCGCUGUCUCUCUCAAACAAAUGAACACAAACCAAAGGAAGCUUCUUGGUAUCGCUAUUUUUCAGCAUAGACUGCAAGCCAGACACAGACGUCGAAGCUGGGUACACGAAAUAAACCAAAGGUUCAUGAGGAGUCUAGGUGCUGGAGGAUGAAGUGAAGGGCCAUGUUUACUGCAUCGUCUACACACCUGUUGGCUCUAUCGGCGAACUGCAGGGGGCCCAGGAGUGGAUCUGUGAUGGAUUUGAGGUGGGACAUCACAAGGCGCUCAAAAGACGUCAGGGCGAUGGUUCGCCUACCAGCCCUGGCUGGGAGUUGAGGACGCCUUCAUCUUCCUGCUGAACCGC